rnacentral:rRNA from 1 species
GAUGAACGCUAGCUACAGGCUUAACACAUGCAAGUCGAGGGGCAGCAUGGUCUUAGCUUGCUAAGGCCGAUGGCGACCGGCGCACGGGUGAGUAACACGUAUCCAACCUGCCGUCUACUCUUGGACAGCCUUCUGAAAGGAAGAUUAAUACAAGAUGGCAUCAUGAGUCCGCAUGUUCACAUGAUUAAAGGUAUUCCGGUAGACGAUGGGGAUGCGUUCCAUUAGAUAGUAGGCGGGGUAACGGCCCACCUAGUCUUCGAUGGAUAGGGGUUCUGAGAGGAAGGUCCCCCACAUUGGAACUGAGACACGGUCCAAACUCCUACGGGAGGCAGCAGUGAGGAAUAUUGGUCAAUGGGCGAGAGCCUGAACCAGCCAAGUAGCGUGAAGGAUGACUGCCCUAUGGGUUGUAAACUUCUUUUAUAAAGGAAUAAAGUCGGGUAUGGAUACCCGUUUGCAUGUACUUUAUGAAUAAGGAGCGGCUAACUCCGUG